rnacentral:lncRNA from 1 species
CUGCCCUGAUGAGAGCCCCUUGGAACUUUUGGGAUAAAGUCCAAAAAACUUCAUCCCUACAGGACAUUUGAAAAACAUUGAUGUGCUGCACCCAUUAACUCAUCAUCUAGCAUUAGGUAUAUCUCCCAAUGCUAUCCCUCCCCCCUCCCCCCACCCCAAAACAGUCCCUGGUGUGUGAUGUUCCCCUUCCUGUGUCCAUGUGUUCUCAUUUUUCAAUUCCCAUCUAUGAGUGAGAACAUGCGGUGUUUGGUUUUUUGUCCUUGUGAUAGUUUGCUGAGAAUGAUGGUUUCCAGAUUCAUCCACGUCCCUACAAAGGACAUGAACUCAUCAUUUUUUAUGGCUGCAUAGUAUUCCAUGGUGUAUAUGUGCC